CAGCAGCCACGGGAAUACGGAGGGUGCAAGCGUUAAUCGGAAUUACUGGGCGUAAAGCGUGCGUAGGCGGUUCGUUAAGUCUGUUGUGAAAGCCCCGGGCUCAACCUGGGAAUGGCAAUGGAUACUGGCGAGCUAGAGUGUGUCAGAGGAUGGUGGAAUUCCCGGUGUAGCGGUGAAAUGCGUAGAGAUCGGAAGGAACAUCAGUGGCGAAGGCGGCCAUCUGGGACAACACUGACGCUGAGGCACGAAAGCGUGGGGAGCAAACAGGAUUAGAUACCCGCGUAGUCCCUGUCUCUUAUAC
rnacentral:rRNA from 1 species